rnacentral:rRNA from 1 species
UACGUAGGGUGCGAGCGUUAAUCGGAAUUACUGGGCGUAAAGCGCACGUAGGCGGCUUUUUAAGUCAGGGGUGAAAUCCCGGGGCUCAACCCCGGAACUGCCCUUGAAACUGGAAGGCUAGAAUCUUGGAGAGGCGAGUGGAAUUCCGAGUGUAGAGGUGAAAUUCGUAGAUAUUCGGAAGAACACCAGUGGCGAAGGCGACUCGCUGGACAAGU